rnacentral:rRNA from 1 species
AGCGAACGCUGGCGGCAGGCCUAACACAUGCAAGUCGAACGAACUCUUCGGAGUUAGUGGCGGUCGGGUGUGUCACACGGCGGAACGUGCCUUUAGGCUCGGAAUAACACAGGGUAACUUGUGCUAAUACCGAAUGUGCCCUUCUGGGGAAAGAUAUAUCGCAUUUGGAGCGGCACGCGUCCGUUUAGCUUGUUGGUGAGGUAAAGGCCCAUCAAGGCGUCGAUCAGUAGCUGGGCUGAGAGGAUGAGCAGCCACAUUGGGACUGAGACACGGCCCAAACUCCUACGCGAUGCAGCAGUGGGUAAUCUUGCGCAAUGGGCGAAAGCCUGAAGCAGCCAGGCCUGGUGAAUGAUGAAGGUCGGAGGAUAGUAAAAUUCUUUCACCGGGGACGAUAAUGACGGUACCCGGAGAAGAAGCCCCGGCUAACUUCGUG